ACACGUAGGGGGCGAGCGUUGUUCGGAAUCAUUGGGCGUAAAGGGCGUGCAGGCGGUCCUGCAAGUCCGACGUGAAAGACCCCGGCCCAACCGGGGGGACGCGCUGGAAACUGCGGGGCUUGAGUACAGGAGGGGAUGCCGGAAUUCCAGGUGUAGGGGGGAAAUCUGUAGAUAUCUGGAAGAACACCAAUGGCGAAGGCAGGCAUCUGGCCAUGUACUGACGCUGAGACGCGAAGGUGCGGGGAGCAAACAGGUUUAGAUACCCUGGUAGUCCGCACAGUAAACGAUGUGCACCAGGUGGCGGGGGGUCGACCCUCGGUACCGUAGCUAACGCAUUAAGUGCACCGCCUGGGGAGUAUGCUCGCAAGGGUGAAACUCAAAUGAAUUGACGGGG
rnacentral:rRNA from 1 species